UACGUAGGGUGCGAGCGUUAAUCGGAAUUACUGGGCGUAAAGUGUGCGCAGGUGGCCGCGCAAGUCGAGUGUGAAAUCCCCGAGCUUAACAUGGAAACUGCCAUUGAUACUAUGUUUCUUGAAUUUUUCUGGAGGUCAGCGGAAUAUGUCAUGUAGCGGUGAAAUGCUUAGAUAUGACAUAGAACACCAAUUGCGAAGGCAGCUGGCUACAGGGAUAUUGACACUGAGGCACGAAAGCGUGGGGAUCAAACAGG
rnacentral:rRNA from 1 species